UCGUCUUGGAGACGUAAAACUCAUCUGGACCUCUAAUCAAUUCUAUUAGAUAAAAUCCACAAAACACUCCAGAGAAAAAUGCUGACUGCAUAGCCACAUUUGAGUCGUCCACAGACCUACCAAGAAUUUUUUACCACUGGCGGGACAUCUCAGGGUUGGAGGGAAAGCAGAAUAGCUGGGCAAUGCUCUGACAGUCAUGGACGCAGCAAGUGAAAACCAUGCUAAUAGCUAAUGUUAGCUAUUCUAUAAAAUACAUUUUCUAUAAAAUCAGAAAAUAAGCCUAUUGGCUGGAGUUGAAAAAUGCUAACAUUUUAAAAACUAUAAAACACCACUAAGUUAAGGAAAUAAUGUAUCAUUGAAAAACUAUGGUUACAAGAUAGAUGGCUCAUAGGAGUUUUACUAACUCAAAAGUGUUGUAAGGGCAGAAAGGAAUAUGAAUGGUCCAGUGAAAUAACCAAUGAAAGGUGGUGGGACACAAGGCUUUCAACUCCGUUGGAAGAAAAGGAGGGAAAGAUUGUGUGCUUUCCUGUUUCAAGGGAGAAAGAGGCUUAUUGCAAUGUCCAGGUUAGCCGCUGGAGGCCACAAAGCUGGAUGACCUGUACCAAGCACAGCAGCAAGACCUCCAGAUGAGAAUCCCCUGCUGUCCUGUCCAAAAGAGCCCCCACAGCCUGCUGCAACGAGCUGGAGGCAAGGCAGUGCCACCCUGUCCAGAGGGCCCACCAGAGGCUACCGACCCCCUGUACAAUGGUUAUCGCUUCCUCCUGGAGCUUGAAUAUGGGUGCUGUCCACCAAGAGGUGGAACAUGCCCCACAUGGCUACAGCUGUGAUUCAUCACAAUGACUAUGGCUGUGAUGAUCCAUUACCUAAUUAUGAAAGAGGCCUGGUUUCCAGACAUGGAGAGACCUUUUCUUCUGAAACUGCUUGAAGCCUUGGUUGUUUGUAGUGUUGGUGUUUUAGUUCUUGGUUUCUCCCUCAUUAUUUGAGUGUUUUUUGAUAGUUUGGUUCCAGGCCAAAUAAAGGCCAAUUAUCCUCCUUACUUUAUUGUAUCUGUCUGUUCACCAUGUGGUGCAGUGGUCAACCCCAACCCCAGUGCACCACAGUACACUGAAACAGUGUACCAACAUUGUAUUUUCAGUACCAGUAAGUUCAUGUUAUAUGUACUUUUGCUGUCAUUUAUAACAGUUUUUAUUAUGUGAUAUUUCAAAUGUUACCAGUAACAUAGUUCUAUGAAAUAAAUUAUAUUAGCAUA